CUAAGCAUAUCAAUAAGCGGAGGAAAAGAAACCAACAGGGAUUGCCUCAGUAACGGCGAGUGAAGCGGCAAGAGCUCAAAUUUUAAAUCCGGCGUUUUCAACGUCCCGAGUUGUAAUUUGGAGAGGCAUCUUCGGGGACAGCGUCAGACCAAGUUCCUUGGAACAGGACGUCGCAGAGGGUGAGAAUCCCGUGCCCGUCUGGCAGUCUGAUCCCUUGUGAAGUGCCUUCUACGAGUCGAGUUGUUUGGGAAUGCAGCUCCAAGUGGGUGGUAAAUUUCAUCUAAAGCUAAAUAUGGGCGAGAGACCGAUAGCGCACAAGUAGAGUGAUCGAAAGAUGAAAAGCACUUUGAAAAUAGAGUUAAAAAGUACGUGAAAUUGUUGAAAGGGAAGCGCUUGAGACCAGACCCGGCCCCAAACAAACAGCCUCCCCUGCUCCAGGGGGGUGCACUUGUAUUGAGGCUGGGCCAGCGUCGGUUGGGGUGGUGGGACAAAGGCGUAGGGAAUGUAGCUCCCCUCGAGGAGUGUUAUAGCCCUGCGCGUAAUGCCACCUACCUCGACUGAGGGCCGCGCCUCGGCGAGGAUGCUGGCACAAUGGUCUUCAGCGACCCGUCUUGAAACACGGACCAAGGAGUCUAACAUCCAUGCGAGUGUUUGGGUGUAAAGCCCUUGCGCGAAAUGAAAGUGAAUGCAGGUGGGACAACCCCUCUCGGGGGGCAUUGCACCAUCGACCGAUCCUGAUGUCCUCGGAUGGAUUUGAGUAGGAGCAUGGCUGUUGGGACCCGAAAGAUGGUGAACUAUGCCUGAAUAGGGUGAAGCCAGAGGAAACUCUGGUGGAGGCUCGCAGCGGUUCUGACGUGCAAAUCGAUCGUCAAAUUUGGGUAUAGGGGCGAAAGACUAAUCGAACCAUCUAGUAGCUGGUUCCUGC
rnacentral:rRNA from 1 species